rnacentral:rRNA from 1 species
AGACGUCUACAUUAGAUACCCGGGUAGUCCCAGCCGUAAACUAUGCGCGUUAGGUGUAUCGGUGACCACGAGUCACCGAGGUGCCGAAGGGAAACCGUGAAACGUGCCGCCUGGGAAGUACGGCCGCAAGGCUGAAACUUAAAGGAAUUGGCGGGGAGCACCACAACGGGUGGAGCCUGCGGUUUAAUUGGACUCAACGCCGGGAAGCUCACCGGAUAAGACAGCGGAAUGAUUGCCGGGCUGAAGACUCUGCAUGACUAGCUG